rnacentral:rRNA from 1 species
UGGGGGAUAUUGCACAAUGGGCGCAAGCCUGAUGCAGCGACGCCGCGUGGGGGAUGAAGGCCUUCGGGUUGUAAACUUCUUUUGCUCUGAACAAGGCGCACUUUGGGGUGUGUUGAGCGUAGGGGUUGAUUAGCGCCGGCUAACUACGUGCCAGCAGCCGCGGUAAUACGUAGGGCGCGAGCGUUGUCCGGAAUUAUUGGGCGUAAAGGGCUUGUAGGUGGCUGGUUGCGUCUGUCGUGAAAGCUCAUGGCUUAACUGUGGGUUUGCGGUGGGUACGGGCUGGCUUGAGUGCAGUAGGGGAGGCUCGAAUUCCUGGUGUAGCGGUGGAAUGCGCAGAUAUCAGGAGGAAUACCGGUGGCGAAGGCGGGUCUCUGGGCUGUUACUGACACUGAGGAGCGAAAGCAUGGGGAGCGAACAGG